rnacentral:rRNA from 1 species
GAUGAACGCUGGCGGCGUGCCUAAUACAUGCAAGUCGAGCGAACCACUUCGGUGGUGAGCGGCGAACGGGUGAGUAACACGUAGGUGAUCUGCCCAUCAGACGGGGAUAACUACUCGAAAGAGUGGCUAAUACCGCAUAUGAUCUUCGGAUUAAAGCUUUUAGCGCUUUGGGACUGGCCUGCGUACGAUUAGAUAGUUGGCGGGGUAAAGGCCCACCAAGUCGACGAUCGUUAGAUGGUUUGAGAGGAUGAUCAUCCAGACUGGGACUGAGACACGGCCCAGACUCCUACGGGAGGCAGCAGUAGGGAAUCUUUCACAAUGGGCGAAAGCCUGAUGGAGCAACGCCGCGUGCAGGAUGAAGGCCUUCGGGUUGUAAACUGCUUUUAAAACUGAGGAAUAUGACGGUAAGUUUUGAAUAAGGAUCGGCUAACUACGUG